rnacentral:rRNA from 1 species
CCUACGGGGGGCAGCAGUGAGGAAUAUUGGUCAAUGGUCGGGAGACUGAACCAGCCAAGCCGCGUGAGGGAGGAAGGUACAGAGUAUCGUAAACCUCUUUUGUCAGGGAACAAAGACUGGGACGCGUCCCCGGAUGAGUGUACCCGAAGAAAAAGCAUCGGCUAACUCCGUGCCAGCAGCCGCGGUAAUACGGGGGAUGCGAGCGUUAGCCGGAUUUAUUGGGUUUAAAGGGUGCGCAGGCGGUCUGUUAAGUCCGCGGUAAAAGCCCGGGGCUCAACCCCGGCCCGCCGUUGAAACUGGCAGUCUCGAGUGGGAGAGAAGUAUGCGGAAUGCGCGGUGUAGCGGUGAAAUGCAUAGAUAUCGCGCAGAACUCCGAUUGCGAAGGCAGCAUGCCGGCUCCACACUGACGCUGAGGCACGAAAGCGUGGGUAUCGAACAGGAUUAGAUACCCUUGUAGUC